rnacentral:rRNA from 1 species
UACGGAGGAUGCAAGCGUUAUCCGGAAUGAUUGGGCGUAAAGCGUCCGCAGGUGGCGAUGUAAGUCUGCUGUUAAAGAGUCUAGCUCAACUAGAUAAGAGCAGUGGAAACUACAUAGCUAGAGUACGUUCGGGGCAGAGGGAAUUCCUGGUGUAGCGGUGAAAUGCGUAGAGAUCAGGAAGAAAACCAGUGGCGAAGGCGCUCUGCUAGGCCGUAACUGACACUGAGGGACGAAAGCUAGGGGAGCGAAUGGG